GUUCAUAAUCUAUUUCCUCCAAGAGAUCUUCUGCAUCAAACACAACAUCUUUGGCCCUGAGAAGCCAAUCUCUCACACGUGGAUCUGUGAACUGCUUUUGCUCUGCAUCAAAAGCCACAACAUCAAUGGCUAGGAGCUUCAUCUUCAAGUGGCUGAGUUGCUUCUUAUUGUGUUUUCUUGCACCGAAUAUGUGGACAAAACGGGAAGCCAAAGUGUCAAUAGUCCUAUCGAGGAAAACAGAAAAAAGAGCACCGGUAACAAUUUCUGCCAUGGUAAGAAUAGGAAAGGGAGUGGAUAAAUGAAACUGAUAAGGGACUGCAAUGGAAAUAAUAGUAAUAAGCUAAGUUUUGAAUGAUGGGCUUGAGUUAAAGUUUAGUAAUAAGCUUGGUGGGCAUUUUUCCACGAUGGCUCGUCAACAAGCAAAAGGUGUCGAGUGUUUCCACGGCUCUGUCAUUGAAAAGCAUUACUGAAUUCCAAGACUUGUGAGUUAUUACGUACAAGAGUAGAAAAUGAAUCACAUGCAUCCUUCUCCACUUGGAUUGAAUGGGGUCCAUGGAAGAACAAGAUAAAUAAAAAGAGACUAAUUCAUAAUUACAGAGACUAAUGAGAUAAUAAUAAAAAAGAAAGCAAAGAAAAGAUAGAAUAGAGAAAAUAGUUGUAUUUCCUUUUAAGUUAGAUUUUUAUCCAUGGAAGUUUCACCCUUAGUAAUCCCAUAACAAGGUAAAUCUAGCAACAUAUUUGGUAUAUUUUUAGAACACUACAAACAACAUUGUUUAGUUUGUGUAACUAACCCCGAACUAAUGAAAAUAAGGAUUAUGUUAUUGUUGAUGUCACCAUUGUUGACUUGGUGGAUGUUAUUAUUUACAGUAUAUUACUAAGUUCUUUUUUGUGUCUAGUGUUAUCUUCACAUCCAUAUCAUCUGGAUCAGGUGCCACGUGGGAGUCAUAGAUUUCAGAAUCCAUUUCUGCCACACCACUUGUUAUGAAGCUUUUUGUUUCCUAGAAAAAGAUGGGAAUUGAAUAGGGACGCGGCACUGGUUCUUUCUUAUCACAUGCUUCCGUAGCAGAGACGUCUCUAACAUUCAGAUUCGUUUUUGCUGCAUACUGUAAAACUCUAAACAGCUUCAACAUGUACCAUAGGAGCCCACAGAAACACCGACCGUUCUGCAUUAUUUAAAUUAUUUAAUUUAAUAUACAUUAACAAGAAAUUUAAAAUCAAAAUAAAGUACAUAAGUACUGAUCUUAGUGAUUUAAAUAACUAAAGAUAUUGAACAGUUAGUCAACGUGGAGAACCACUUUGAAAGUUCAUGAUAUAAUAUUAUUCUUUUGUAUCAAAAUUUUAACAAGUUCCUCCAUUAUUAGUUCAUUUUGGUGAAUCAUUUAACUAUUAUCUUCUCCACUUACACCACCAGAGGUCAACAAUGGUGGUCUUAUCUUCUUUCUGGGGCUCUGCACAAUCACUGCUUGCCCUUGUGGCUAUCAUUAUUGUGCUAUUCCGGCAAACUCACGGUGCCCAGGAUCGUCCAUUCUGUGCUCCUUCUUCCUGUGGCAAAAUUGGCAACAUUAGUUAUCCUUUCCGACUCAAAGGCGACCCACCUGGUUGCGGCCUCCCAAGGUACGAACUAGAUUGUGUAAAGAAUGUGACAGUGUUCACUUUAUUUUCAGGGAAAUACCAUGUUCAGAAUAUCAACUAUGAAACAUACAAGAUCCAAUUGAGUGAUGCAGGUCUUGAGGAGGACACUGCUUGCUUCAUUCCUCGCUAUUUCAUCUCUACAUGGAACUUCACUUACAUUGGUGGUCCUCAAAGUUACGCCACCGAUCCACUAACUUUCUGGAAUGGGAAUGAGACUCCUGAUUGGCCUCCUUAUGUAGCAUUUCUAAACUGCAGUGAUCCAGUGAGUGAUGAUCCUCGAUACGUGGAAGUGAAUGGCAGACUUUGUGAUUCUGGAGGCCAUGUCUAUGCUGUUCUUUCUUCUUCUUCUAAAUUCACAAUGAUGGACAUCAAGGUUGGCUGCCAUUUACAGUCUGCUACCUUUACAAACAAUAACCAUUGCAACAACCUUUCCUAUGCUCAUAUCCAUGACUGCCUGCAUAAUGGGUUUUCGUUGUCUUGGGUGAUGCCAGUUAUUUGUACAGACCAAUGUGGAAAGGGUGCGAGAUGCCUCAUCAAUCAAACCACUCAUCAAAUUGGAUGUGUACAAGAUUCCUAUUGCCAAGUUUUGGGCGUAGGAUUGGAAAAGAGGCACUGUGGUGAGAAAACAUUCUUGUACCUGCAAUUUUUCUGUCUCUUUUGUGAAGUACAAAAUUUAAUAAAAGGUGUGGUACAAAGAAAUAGCUUUAGUCUUUACAAUAUAAGCUAAUGUUUUCUUUUUCUGUUUAAGGAAUUGAACACCAGAUUCUUCAAUAUGCAGUUGGAAUUCUAAACUAUAUAGCACGUAAGAUGUCUCUUCCAUAUCUCUGUUCUUUCAGUUUGUAAUGACUGCUUAAAGUUCAUCAUUUUGAUUAAUUAGUAAGCUAUACAACUUCUGUACUAUUCGUUCUAAUAACCUGAAAGUUGUGCAUCAAAGUUAAUAAAUUUUGAAACCCAAAUCGUUCUAUACUGAACUCACAAGUAGUUGACAGGAUUUUCUAAACAAAAGCCUUGAAGGGAUGUUCAAUGGGAGUUUUCAGAGCAUUCCUCCAUAAUGCAUCAUCUUUCUUUUUUCCUGCAAAACAUAAUUAACUAAAAGGGAGCAUUUGAUGGAUGCUCAAACCCUUUUACACAAAAGAGGCAAGAAACCUCCCAAAGAAACAAAACCAGCAAGGCUAUGAUCCAACUCAGAAAAAUUCUUCAAAACUCCAACAAUUCUGCAUGAAAUGGUUUAUACAGAUCCUAUUCCCCAGCUCCCACAAAAAACUUACAAUCCCAAAAACAAAGCUAAUAAUUCCCCAGCCAUAAGGCAUCAUCUAUAUUGCCAUUAUGCAUUCACGAUAUUUCCAAAUUCAUUUCAACAUUAACCAAGAUAUAUUUGUUUGAAAAUGAUUUUGGGAAAAGACCAUGAACUUCAUUCCCCAAACACCAGAUAUAUCAGAAACCAAAAAGUUAUUUGAAUGCAUUGCAUGACGCUAGAAAUGCAUAGAAUCUUUAGACAUAGACAUUUGGUGGAAAAAGAAAAACUUAAGUUUUUUUAUACUGUAUCCAAAGUAUAUAUCCUUUGAAUAUUGAGUGUUCUUUUCUUUUGAUACUAUUAUAUUUCUAUUUUGCAGGCUAUGUUGAAUUCUUCAUAAUGGGUAAUGGCUUGUCAACUGAUUUCAUAUUUGAAUAAACUUACUUAUUAGACCAACCAUGGUUUAUUUCCUUACACAUUCAAUGAAAUCUAUCCUCACAGGACUAAUCUAUAGAAUAACACGUUCACAGCACUUCUCGAAAUGGAAAGUGGAAGGAGAUUUGAUUUUAAUAGCCCCUGUUCUAAUAUUUGUGGCUGCAAGAUUUUUAUUUGGAGUGACACUUUUGCUUGCACUAUUUAUCCAUACGUGGCGACGUAGGCAUUACUCGAUGUAUGAAAACAUUGAAACUUUUUUGCUAAACAACAAUCUAAAUCCUAUUAGGUACGAAUACAGAGAAAUUAAGAAAAUGAGCAGAGGUUACAAAGUUAAAUUGGGUGAAGGAGGUUUCGGAUCUGUAUACAAAGGAAAACUUCGAAGUGGGUCAGAAGUAGCAAUAAAGAUGUUGAAAAAAUCGAAAGCUGAUGGACAAGAUUUUAUGAAUGAAGUGGCUAGCAUUGGAAGAAUACAUCAUGUGAAUGUGGUACAUCUCAUUGGAUAUUGUGCUGAAGGACAAAAGCGUGCUCUAGUUUAUGACUACAUGCCAAAUGGUUCAUUGGAUAAAUACAUCUUCUCCAAAGAGGAAAGUAUCCCUUUAAGUUAUGAGAAAACAUAUGAAAUAUCUCUUGGCAUAGCUCGUGGGAUUGCUUAUCUCCAUCAAGGCUGUGAUGUGCAAAUUCUACAUUUUGAUAUUAAGCCUCAUAAUAUUCUUCUAGAUGAUGACUUCAUUCCAAAGGUUUCAGAUUUUGGACUUGCAAAGCUAUAUUCUUGCGAAGAUACGUCUGUUGCUUUAACUAUGGCUAGAGGAACUUUAGGUUACAUGGCUCCAGAACUAUUCUACAAUAAUAUUGGUGGAGUAUCCAAUAAGGCCGAUGUGUAUAGUUUUGGAAUGCUUUUGAUGGAAAUUGGAAGUAGGAGAAGGAACUCAAAUCCUCAUGCAGAACAUUCAAGCCAACAGUACUUCCCCUUUUGGAUAUAUGAUCAAAUUAAAGAUGAAAAAGAGACUCACAUAGAAGAUGCCUCAGAAGAGGAUAAGAUUUUGGUGAAAAAAAUGUAUGUAGUUGCGCUUUGGUGUAUACAACUGAAACCAAAUGACCGUCCUACAAUGAAGAGAGUUGUGGAGAUGCUUGAAGAAAAAGUUGAAAGUCUUGAAAUGCCUCCUAAGCCUGUUUAUUAUCCCCAUGAAACAGUUGAACAUGACUGUGGAGACAACUCAAACCAAACAUCAUGGAGUGGUUCAACUAGUUCUAGCGAAUAUGUUGGCAAAACCAACACUAACAUCCAUGGGAGAGCAACGAUUUGACGAACAAGAAAAUUGCUUAGAGCUAAAUGUUGGUCGUCCUUUAACAGUUUGAUUUGGAAGGACUUAGCUGUUAACAGGGAAAAAGGUUUUUAAUUUUAGAGUUGUUGCUAUUAUAUUUAUUGUUCCCUAGUAUACAUCAUGACCAAGAAAGUUUCAUUUGAUAAUAUAUUUGAAUAAAUUGAUUCUCCAAAUUAAAUGUACGUGAAGCUGUUGGCAAAACUUUGGGUUUCAAAGAACUAUCAGUUGCACUUAUGGAUGACUAAAGACUCUCAGAUAAAGUGAGUUUAAUUGGACAUGAGAUAAAAUCAUGUCUAUUUUGCCAAAUUUAUAUAUGCAUACAAGUCUUUAGUUUUGGCAUUUUGGCAAUCUGUGCAGGCAAAGCUUCUUGAGUUCAGUUUUACAUCAUUCACCAAGUUUGCUGCCAUGCUGAUAAUUACUCAUUUUUCACUCCCUUCUGUUACACUUGCUGCACCUUUAAUCAUUUUUCUUUUUAUAUAUGAACACUAUGAUAUAUGAAGAUUCCCUAGUGAUAGACACUUAAACACAAAUGAAUCAUCUCUUGUUAGUUGUUUUCCAAAAAUAUGUCAUUGUUUUUGUUCCAAUUAUCAGUGGCCUUUUUUCUGGCUGAUGAACCAGCAUUUAAAAAGGUUCCCCUCUCGAUGUUGCAGUGCCUAGGGAUAUCCGGAAUUAGCAUGUUCAUCAAAUUUUAUUUGAAAUACUGGCUUUGGGGCCAUAAUACCAGAUUUCUUCAAUAUCUCAAGAUGAAAUGUGACAUGAAAGAAUGGUGGACCUUUAUCCUAUUUACAUAGAUAUUUUACUUUUAUUGAAUAUAAUACUUCAAGUAAUAUUUAUUCAUUUUAUAUAAUUCUAAUAUCUUGAAAAUAAAGAGUUAUAAAAUUAAAUCCACACAAGAUCUUGCUCAACUAAGUUUCAGACUCAAGCGAGAAAAUCAAGAAUGGAAACUAUUUAAAACUUUCGACUCAAACUAGUUUUAAGAUUUUUUUUCUCCUAUUCUUGGAAUAAAUUAUGCCAUAUUCAUGUCAACGACAGUCUCCUAUAAUGCAAUGAAAUUAAUUUCACAUUACUCAACAUAUAUGCAUACUUCAAUCAGAAAUAAAAAUGUACAAGGUAAAACCACUUUUGGCUAUAUUUUAGCUGUGUUGUGGAAUAAAAAGAACGUUUUUUUUUUCUUGAAAAUCAAUUCUCAUGCAAUUUUGGAAACAAAAUGAAAAAGUGGAUUAUUUUGUCUCAAUAAAUUCCCAGAUCAGUGUAGCACAUGAAAACCCUUUGAUGAUUAUUUACAAAAUCUACGAGUCCAAACCAAAAAACAACUUUGUGACAUGUUGACCAAAGUCAUGACAAAGGCCAGCUGACCUACAUGGAUAGGCGAAUAGACAUGGGUUGAACUUCCGAACUAUUGGGAUACUCAAAUGUUCAAAUAAAAAUCAACUUAGAAUAAAAUUAAUAGGGCUUCAACUCAUGGUGGAGCAUUGCACUCCACAGGCCGAAAAUCACAUUUAGAUAUACAUUUAGAUAUUGCAGUGAUCUUGGUAAGCACUCAUCACUUUCUUACAUGUAAUUCAUUUUACUUUUACAACAUAUACUGUUUCUAAUUGUACAACAUUAUUAGAAGCGCCAAUAUGGUCAUCCCCCUGAACCUGAUGAACUCUUUAUGGUUACCCACACAAACAAGAAGGGUGACUAGGUUGAUACUCAUGCUCGUGAAACUUAUAUAAGUUAUUGUCUAAGGUUUUUUUAAUUUCCUAACGUUUCCAUCUCCUAAUGACCUGUGUAGAAAAGCUAUCAUGAGCGCUUGAGAACCCUUCAAGCAAAUAGUUCUCAAGACUCAAGCACUGAUGUCCAUCAAGUAGAUCAUACAACAAAGCUUCAAGCUUGAAAGGAAGUUGUUGGAAGAAAGAGUAGAGGUUAAGUUUAUGGUACGACAGACUUGGUUGGUAACUUCCGCCAAGGACUCUCUUCCCUCUCGGCCUUCCUCUGGUUUUGACGCUUCUCAAUUUGAUCAAUUGACUGAAAAUCAACAACUUCGUGUAGAAGUUAGUAUGUGGGGUCAAAAGUAUGCAUUCUUGGUAACAACGUGGUAAUGCUUCCACUAAUACAAGUCAAUUGCACCAUCAGUAUGCUCUAGAGUAUGAUGACCAACCCCUUCCUUGAAGUGCAUCCCAUACUUUAAGUUGAAUUAUUUUACUAUUCUAUUAUAUACUAAAUAUUUUAGUUAUUCACACUGUUUGUAUUUUUUUACAGGUUUUUAUGGAUCACAUCAGUGGUAUUUCUACUUCAUGGGACACAUUUCAUAUUUUUAAUUUGUAGUACUUUUUUAUAUAAUUGUAUCAUGGUACAUUUAGAGUUCUAGAACUUUUGGUUAAUUUUUAAUUUACAAUUUUAUUUUAUACUUUAUUUUAUAGUAACAUUAUACAUUUUAAUUGCCAAGUUUUCUUUUAUGCAUUAAUAUUUAGUUUGACUAGAAAUUAUUUCGAUAUUUGAAUGAUUUUAAUGGUUUGAAUAAGUGGAAUGAAAUAGAUAAUUAUCUAGAUAUUUAAAUGAAUUGGAUGAUUUUUCUGAAUGAAUAUGAAAACUUUUUACCGGUGAAAACGAGUAGAGAAAUAAAAAUAAAUUGCAUUUUUUUCCAGAUUUUAUGCGUAAGCCAAACCCACACAAAUCAUUAUUAAUCCUUAAUAUAUUUUUCUAGCUUGCAUUUUUGUGUGGGUCAGACCCACGCUAGCUUUUAUUUUUAUUUUUAUUUUUAUUCUUUUUGCAUUCUGCUUGGUCGACGCAUUUUAGUGUUUUUGAUACAUUGCGUCGGUCUGACCAACAAUAUUUCAUCCUCGUUUACGUCGAUUAUGUCACAAUAUUCGUGUUUGUCUCACUUCGGUUUAAUCCAUGCUAUUUGCGUCAUUCUCAGUGGCCGACACAAAUUAACUUUGCUUCCACGUUUUUCUUGUCGACUUCUUGAUCGACGCAUAACCAACGUUUAUUUGUCGUUUUUUUCUUUAAUUUUCGUCCAUCUUUUACCAUUGAAAAAUGAUGUUUCUGUUGUAGUUAUUUUACUAUUCCGAAAGAAUUGUUUCUUCUCUAUUAUAUUGCCUAAUAUACAACAUUGAACAAUUCUUAAUACAGAACUCGAGAGUCAUAGUUAAAAAAAUUGUAAGAGACAAGAAGUUAGAAGGUAGAUAAUUUUUUUUAUUGGUCUGAAGAUAUAAAAACAUAGUUCUUUAUUUAUCCAAAGCGUAAAAACACAUCUUUAUUUAUGAAAAGUAAAGAUCACAAUAUCAUUUGUUCUACACAAUACGACAUGUUGGCUCUUGUGGACUCGCAUAUUACAUUGGAAUCUAGGAAUGCACUUUAAAUGAUAGACCUGAUCCACCUAAUUUUUCUUCAAUGAUUUUGGAUAAUUUUUCUAUCAUAGAAGGAGAAAAGUAAUUCAUCCAAUCUCCUAUUUCACCCUUUCGAAAGAAAUUUUUCUUCUCAAGAACAUCGAAUAUACAUCCUGAUUUGUUCACUUCCAAAUCCUUCAUCUUCUCAAAUCUACAUAGUUUUAUUAUGUUUUCAAUCACUGUGCUACUCUCUUCUCCUUGAAUGAUAGGAGAGUCCAAAAACUUUGCAAUUCUUUUCACAUGAAAUACUGUAUCCUCUUUAAGAUCUUCAUACUUUAAGAACAAAACUUUGUUUGGUGUAGUUAUGCUCUCAUUCCAGUAACCUAACAUAUGACUCCACCAUGGACCAAACACGGUUAUUCCGUUACAAUACUUUUCAAAUGCUUCCUCGAAAGUGAAUUCAGGCUUUAUUUUAGUAAAGAAUUCCCAUGCUGAAACAAAAGUAUCAAAUGGAUUUCUACAUAUAUAAAUGAUCUUGCAAUUGGAUUUUGUGAUGGAUUCAGGUAAUGAAUGGAAUGGUAAGUGGGUAGAAAGAAGUCUUGGCUCACUCAUGUUGGAGAGGGAAAGAAUUUGGUCAUGCAUAUCAUUAGAAUACAUAAAUUCAGGGUAGGGCACAAGUUCAUGAGGAUUGGAAGAGAGUAAUGGAUGGUUGUCCACAGAGGAAAAACGUUGAUGGUUUGCAAUUGCAAAAGUAAGAGCUUUCAACCAGGUAGUACCUGACUUCGGAAAGCUGGCAACAAAAACAUCGUUGUCUUUUGCAUCAAAAUGUUUUUGAAACUUGUUAACUCCUUCAACAUAAAAUGUUGGGCACCAAAAAUCUUGAAAUAGAUUUUUGAAACUUGUUAACUCCUUCAACAUAAAAUGUUGGGCACCAAAAAUCUUGAAAUAGAUGGAGAUAGGGAGUUGAACUCAAACCCGUCUCCUUCGGAAGGGAGAGGAUGAACUCAUUUUCUUCAUUUGCUUCUUUGUGACUUGCCAAAGCCAUUGGAGUAGCUUCAAUAUGAAUGAUGAGUGAAUACUAGAAUUGGAUGAAAACAUAGUUUAGCACGAGAUAGCUUUUAUAGAACUUUUUAAAUUAAUUUCUAGAUUUUCAGCUUUUUACUUGCAUUAAUUAUGGUAUUUAGUUUUUUCGGAUUUACCUUUUAUUCUUCCAUAUGAUAGAAAAAUAAUUUUUAUUCAUAAUCACAACCAAUAUUUAUUAAAUAUUUUUUCUAUAAAAAAUAUCAAAGAAAUAAAAUAUUCCAAAAAAUUGUGAAUAUAUAUUAAUUUAAAAAUGCAAAUAAUAUUAUAAAAUAUUAUGUAUAAAUAUUUUAAUUUUAAAAGAACGUGAAAUAAAAUAAUAAUUUAAAUAUUUUUUUUUAUAAAAAAUACUUUUUAAAUUUUUUUAAAAUUAAGUAAACUUUAAAUCCUAAAUCUAAAUUAACUAACUUUAAUUUUUUUAUUUUUUUCAUAAAACCUAAUCAAAUUAAUUAAAUCUGGUCAAAAAUUAGUUAAAGAAAGGGGUGGCAGACAUAUAAUUGAUAGGUUGGGUAAAUGAGCAAUCAUCAACAAAUAAAUAAAUUAAAAAUAAUAUUUCAGAAAUAUCAUAACCUGUUCAUCUUCUAAAUUACAAACCAAAAAAUAUAACAAUCACAAAGAACUAGAUUUCAUUGACACUUCUCCUCUUGCUUUAACAUAACAAUAAUAAAGUGAAAUAUUACUUUAAAAUACUAUUUAUAUGAGAAAAGAAUUGGAAAAUUAGUUAAAUUUUGGAAAUAAAUUAUUAUAAUUGCGAACAAAUAUCACUACAAGAAGUUAUUUAACGGAAAUUAAUAUGACUGUGAAAAUUGAUUUAAUUAACUGAGAUUCUUUUUAACAUUUCUUAUGUAGAUGUUUUUUAACCUUUGUUAAAUUUUAAAGGUACAUUUCAAAAUCUUAAUAAAAUAACAAAGGUUUUUUUUACUUAAGUUAAACAAAAUCAAUCAAGAACCAAACUAUUAGAGCAAUACUGAAUGCGAGAAGUAGUGUGAACAAGAACCCUAAUCAUAGUGAAUGAGAGAGAACAUAGAGAAGAAAAGAAUGAUAAAAGUGAAAGUGAGAAUGAAGAGUAUUAUAUAGAAGCGUAAAAGUAAUUCAGUGUCAAAUAGAAAAAUGAAAGAGUAUAUAUAGAAAAACGGUGCCUAAAAAGUUGGCAAAAAAACAGAAAAAUAGUAUGGGCCUAAUGGAGGUCCAGAAGCUUUAACAAUAAAUAUUACUAGAAUUAUCAUAUAUAUAUAUAUAUAUAUAUAUAUCAUGGGAAUGAAAACAACAUUGGGGAAUUAACCAUUUUUUGUUAGCAUUAUACAACAUCAUGACUAGUAUUGAUUCCUAUGCAAUGAGUUCAAAACACAAUCCGAAUAACGUAAAUACCUAAAUCCAAUUACAAUGAAUGAAGAUAUGUUAUGCAUAGUACUCAAGUGAAUGUUCUCCAAGCACUAGGAGCUAAAGGUAGAAAAAAUAUGUUUGAUUGAUUCUGAUAUAAAAUUGGUAAUUUGAAUGAAGAACAAUGAGCCACAUUAUAGUUAGCAUGUUGAACUCUUGUAAAAAUUUAUUAUCAUGGAUUAUUGACACAUGGGCUUCGCCUCACAUUAUAUUGUGUCAUCUUUGGUUGGGUUUCUAAAGGCAAUUUCUUCCUCCACCAUAUCACUUUUAACCUGCACCAUAUCACUUUUUUUAAAUUUCCAAAAUUACCCUUAUUUUGUAUUUAAAAAUCUAAAAUAAUAAAUAAAAUUUAAAACUAAAAAAAUACAUUCCAGAUAAAAAAAUCCAAAACAAAAAAUUGAAAAUAUAUUCCAGAUAAGAAUUUCUUAAAUUUAAAAAUGUGUUCUGGAAAUUUAAAUCCAGAAUAUUUCCGUAAAAAGAGUUUUGAAAGUAAUUUUUAUCCACACCCUCUUUAUAUCUAAGGUUAUUUUCGUCAUUUGUGGGGGUAUUUUUGUCAUUUUAAAUAGUAAAUUGGGUGUAUGUUAGAAUUGAUAUGGUGCCGGAAGAAUUUGCCAUUUCUAAAUGGUGCAAAGGUCACAUGUUUUUGACUGUUUCUUCCUACACCUCCAUAUUUUCUUCUGGCACCUCCAUACACAACAUGAAAAUACAUUUUUACCCUUCUUGUGCCACCUCAUAGAAUAACUUCCAGAUUAUGUAAUCCGGAAACGCAUUUGAAAAAAGACUUCCGAAUUAUGUAAUCCGGAAGUUAAAAAAGACUUCCAGAUUAUGUAAUCCGGAAAGUAAUCAUGCAUCUGAAAAAAGACUUCUAGAUUAUAUAAUCCAGAAGCUAAUUACAAAUUUGAAAAAUAACUUCCGGAUUAUGUAAUCCGGAAUAUUAUAGAGGAGCAUUUUUGGAAAUACGAAAAUCUAUGGAGGUGAGAGAAGAAGGUAUGGAGGUGCAGGAAGAAGCAGCCCAUGUUUUUUAAUGAAGGAACUCUGGUUUUGGAAAAGAAUUUGAAACUAGAGCAUGUUCUUUUGUGUCUUAAAUUGAAGUGUAGUCAGAUUUAUGUUUCGUUCCUAGUUCAUUAUUCUGGUUUUCUUAUCCAAUUAAUUGAAAAAUAUUGUGUUAAUCUAUAGGUGUAUGUUAAACUUUGUUCAGUUUUUUAAAGUUUAUAAUUAAUCGCGGAGACAGUAAAAGACCAAAUGAAAAAUACUUCUUAUUAAGUGAUUUUAGUAGCUUUUAUCUUUCAGUAGAGAAGAUUUUUUCUUUUUGAAAUUAGAAUAAUUUGUAAAAUAAUUUAAACGUAUCCUUAAAGAAAUAUGGAGUGUAAUUUCCACUGUUUUUCUAUUAAGAUUGUUGAGUUCCUCUUAACUUAACUGACUUCUAUUAAGUAAUGUUUUACCUUCAAAUCUUUCAAUGUAACCUCAACUACAAUUUUCCGUUGAGCCUAAACUCAUAAUGACCAUCAAAUUUUGGGAUGACAGGUUGAACAAAUUUACGUGACUUAGACAUCCUUCUUUCCUUUGUUUAUGCACUCAUAGUGUCUCCCAAACCUCACAUAAAAAUGUAAAAAUAAACUAACAAACACAUCUUUAUUUAGCAAAAAGAAAGAUCGAAUAUCAUUUCAUCUGCACGAUACAACAUGUUAGCUCUUAUCUAGUUUCAUAUUACAUUGGAAUUUAAGAAUGCACUUUAAAUGAUAAACCUGAUCCACCUAAUUUUUCUUCAACAAUUUUGGAUAACUUUUCUAUCAUAGAAGGAGAAAAGUAAUUUAUCCAAUCUCCUAUUUCACCCUUCCGAAAGAAGUGCUUCUUCUCUACAAUAUUGUCUAUAUAUCCUGAUUUGUUCACUUCCAAAUCCUUCAUCUUCUCAAAUCUACAUAGAUUGACUAUGUUUUCAAUCACUGUGCUACUCUCUCCUCCUUGAAUGAUAGGAGAGUCCAAGAACUCUACAAUUCUUUUCACAUGAAAUACUGUAUCCUCUUUAAGAUCUUCAUACUUUAAGAACAAAACUUUGUUUGGUCUAGUUUUACUCUCAUUCCAGUAACCUAACAUAUGCCUCCACCAUGGACCAAACACGGUUAUCCCGUUGCAAUAGUUUUCAAAUGCUUCCUCCAAAGUGAAUUCAAGUGAAGACACUGACUUCAUUUUAGUAACAAAUUCCCAUAACGAAACAAAAGUAUCAAAUGGAUUUCUACAUAUAUAAAUGAUCUUGCAACUGGAUUUUGUGAUGGAUUCAGCUAAAGAAGAAAAUGGUAAGUGAGUACCAAGAACUCUUGGCUCACUCAUGUUGGAAAGGGAAAGAAGUUGGUCAUGCAAAUCAUGAGACAAGAUAAAUUCAAGGCUGGACACAAGUUGAUGAGGAUUGGAAGAGAGUAAUGGAUGGUGGUCGAAAGAGGAAAAACGUUGAUGGUUUACAAUGGCAAAAGCAAGGGCUUUCAACCAUGUAGUACCUGAUUUUGGAAAGCUGGCAAGAAAAACAUCAUUGUCUUUUGCAUGAAAAUGUUUUUGAGAGUUGUUCACACCUUGAAUACGAGAUGGUAGGCACCAGAAAUCUUGAAAUAGAUAGAGAUAGGGAGAUGAACUAAAACCCCUCUCCUUGGGAAGGGAGAGGAUGAACUCAUUUUCUUCAUUUGCUUCUUUGUCACUUGCCAAAGACAUUGGAGUAGCUUUGAUACUAGAAUUGGAUGAAAACAUAGCUUAGCAAGAGGUAGCUUUUAUAGAACAUUUUCAACUAGUUUCUAGAUUUCCAGCUUUUUACUUGUAUUAAUUGUAGUAUUUAGUUUGUUCGGAAUCACAACCAAAUAUUUAUGAAAUAAUAUUUUCUAUAAAAGUAAAAAAUCAAAUUAAAAGAAAUAAAAUAAUAUUAUAAAAAAUUGUGAAUAUAUUAAUUUAAAAAUGCGAAUAAUAUUAUAAAUAUUAUGUAUAAAUAUUUUAAUUUUAAAAGAACGUAAAAUAAAGUAAUAAUUUAAAUAUCUUUUAUAGAAAAUACUUUUUUAAAAACUUUUGAAAUUAACUAACUUUAUCCAAAAAAAUGCUAACCCUACAAAAAAACUGACCACAAAUGCAAAUUAAAUAUGGUAAAAAAAUUAGUUAAAGAAAGGAGUGGCAGAUAUAUAAUUGAUAGGUAGAGUAAAUGAGAAAUAAUGAAGAACACCUACCACUACUGUGGGGGCAACAAGCUAAUGCUCACACACUUUUCUUUUUUGCUAAUGUUGAAGGAAUUGGAACCAAGAAUCAAGUGGAAUGGGGAGGCAAUGACAUUACCCCUCCGUGAUGACUUUUUAGGUACGUGCAUCCGUUGUCAGAAUUAAUAAUUAGAUAAUGAAAGAUAUCAAACCAAACAAAAAAAUAUCAAGUAAAAUAUUUAGUAAAUGUAAAAUAGAAUAAUAAAAGUUUGUAAGUUUGUUGAGAGUUGUUAUGAUGGCAUGGAUUAACAAGAAAAUAAGUUACAUAGUUGUUACUUCAAUUGGGAAAAUAGGAAUUUGAUUUCAUCCUUUUCACUUUUUUGUAUUUUGAUUAGCAUGAGAAUAUUGUGCUCUUUGAUUGAUAUUGAUGUGCGUAUAAAAAUAAUUUAUAUCGAUUUCUCGUAUAUAAAAUUAUUAAGAUGCUUCCUAACAUGGAUUCUUAACACUCAAAUAUGUUAAAUAUUAUUUAUAGUUUAGGUCAGAACCCUAAAAUGCUUUCCAGUCAAGUAUAAGAUUCAAUAUUAUGAAAACCAAUAGCAUUUAAAAGAAAAACAAAAAUACCAAACAUCAAUCAAGAACAAAAUAUUAUGUUUAGAUAUCACCUCAAUACAUAAGAGUUUGAACAGAUUACUCUCAAUCCUAAAGGGUAGAAUUAGCCACACAUGAUGACUGUUACACGCAGGGAGAUUGACGACUGACUGUCUCCUCUAAUGUUUCUCACACUUCCUAUUCUCCUAAUUGGGUUACAAGUCACUCAAUGAUGUUUUCCUCUCAAUCUUGCACACUAGGGUUGUGCCUCAAGCCCCCUAUUUAACCUAAUUUGAUUGGGCUUAAGUGAAUUCUCACUCAAGCGAGAAUGGGCUCGCUUGAGCGAGCAAAACGUCGUUCAACCCAAUUUCAUUAGUGCUAUCUCAUUCAAGCGAGAUAUAGCUCACUUGAGCAAGCUCAACAGGUGGUGAGACGACUCUUUUGCUCAUUUGGGCAACAUUAGUGAGUGUUCAUGCAUUCUAGCUUUCUCUUUUUAGUUUUGUAUAUUUUUCUUUUACCCAAUUAUCUCCAUUCUUCUCUAGAAUGGUUAAAUUAACUCAAAAUCUAGAAAAAAAUUGUUCCUAUUCAAUUAAAAAUCACAAAAUAUGUAAAAAUGUAUAAAUUAAUAAACUAUUAAUUAUUUCAUACUUAUUUUAACAAUUAAUAUUCAUAAAUAUCUAUAUUUUAAUAUAAAAUAUUACUAAAAUUUAACAUUACCUACAGAGACAACCUCAAUUAGACCACCGUUAGUAUCUAAUUUCUUGAGUAAUUUCUGAGGGUGACAAUAUUAUUAAUUAUAAUAGAAGGUUUUGGAACUCACUAGACAUACUUGAACUUAAAUUAUAGGAGAUAAUUAUAAACAGAUAAAGAUAAAAUGGUCACUAGAUAUAGUUAAGUUAUAGGAGAUAGUUAAAUAGAUAAGGAUAAGAUGUGGUGGGAAUGAAGAAGAGGUAAUAAGUUAAAUUAAAUAUCCAAAAACUGACAAUAAAUGUAAUGUUUAUCUUAAAAACUCAAACAGCCAAAAACUGAAAUUUUUGAAAAUGCAAAUUAAAUCUGGUCCAAAAAUUUGUUAAAAAAAGGGGUGGCAGACAUAUAAAUAGGUGGGGUAAAUGAUAAAUAAUGAACAACACCCCUGCUGCUACUGUAGGGACACCAAGUUAAUGCUCACACACUUUUUUUUUUUUGACUGAUAAAAAUUAAUAAAUUAAAUAAAAUAUUUAUAAGAUGUUAACCUUAGAGAUAUAUGUGUUUCUUUCAAAUAACAAGAUACAUCUUCUUCAACUAACAUAUAUUUUUAUGAAAUCAUUUACCACAAAAAAAUCCUCACUAUUAACAUUAUAAAAAAAUUAUAAAAUAAAAACUAAUUUUAAAGAUCAAAAUAAUUAAUUAUUAUACAAUUAAAUUAAAUUUUUUAUAAAUUAAAAAAAUUCUUAAUUCUAAAUUACUUUCUAUUAUUAAUAAAAUUUUAUAAAAUUAUUUUGUUAUUAAGAUUUUAGUUACUUACCAUUUUAUAUUUUAAAUUAGUUUCUAAUAAUUUUUUUAAAGAUUAACUUAAAAUUUAAAAUAUUAAUCGCUAAAAUUUAGAUAAUUAAUUUAGAUACAAAUUUAUAAAUUAUUUUAUUAAAUUUUAUUAAUAAUUAAUAAAAAUGAUUUAGAUAUAAAAAAAUUUAAUCUCUAAUAUCUAAUUUAAUUAAUAUAAUUAAUUAAUUUUAAUUUUUAAAUUCGGUUAUUAUUUUAUGAUUUUUUUUAUUAUAUAAUAAUAUAAAGAAAAUAUUACAUUAAAUGAUGUGUAUCAGAAAACAGUUUAGAGACUAACAUUGUCAUCAAAUCAUUUAUCAGAAAAUCCUCUAUUAAUGAUAUAAUAAAGUAAAAUAUUACUUUAAAGUACUAUUUUUAUUAGAAAAGAAUUGGAAAAAUAGUUAAAUUUUAGAGAUAGAUUAUUACAAUAAAUAUUAUUAUUCAAAUAAGAAUUAUAACCUUUUUCACACAAUUGAAAGAGAAAAUAAAACCUAUAACUCUGUCCAUUGUCAAACCAAUCUCUUUUUAAAGAAAAUAAGUCAUAAUCACCUUGUUAACACGUCUAGCCAACGAAGAAGAUAGAUUUUGUGCUUUCUCUUCAUCAAACCAAUUCAUAGCUCCCAGAAAAUAAACGUGUAUUAUUAUAAUUCCGUACAAAUAUAUUAAUAAGAUUACUAACAAAGAAAAAUUUAUCAAAAUUAUACGCGUAGCAUUGGUAAAAAAUAUAUUUCCAACAACUAUUAUAAUUUUAUAUAAAAUUAUAUAGUAAUAAUAAGAAUAAAUCAAAUUUUUUUUACCAAGAUUUAUGUUUAAAAUAAAGGUUUUGCCAACUAAAAUAAUGAAAUAUAUGAUAUUUAUAAUCUUAAAAUUCAAAGGGUAAAUAUUAGGAUAAACAAACUUCAAAUUCCAUAAAAAAACUUCAAAGGGUGAUAACUUUUUUCCGAGAAGUCAGACAAAAAAUGAAUAUUGCUCGAAACGGGGGUGGCGAUUUGCAUGUGUUAUGUGCUGAUUUGUCAGUAGUUUGAGGUUUGUGGAGACUUCAUCUAGUAAAUAUUAGGAUAAACAAACUUCAAAUGACCAUAAAAAUACUUCAAAAGGUGAUAACUUUUGACGGAGAAGUCAGACAAAAAAUGAAAGUUGCUCGGAACGACGAUGGCGAUUUGCAUGUGUUAUGUGCUGAUUUGUCAGUAGUUUGGGGUUUGUGGAGAUUUCAUUUAGUGAGUAUUAGGUUAAAAAAACAUCAAAAUAUGAUAUCUUUUGACGGAGAAGUCAGACAAAAAAUGAAAGUUGCUCGGAACGGAUUUUUCAACACUUUUGUGCAAACCAAGGCUAUCCUCUACCUAAACUUGCGAAAUUUCUCCCUACUCUCUGCAAUUUUAUUCUGGGUCCGUAUUGCGUUGAAAAAAUUCACACAAGUACUUUCAUAUGUUUUUUGCACCCAGGUAACGAGGCAGAUCCAUAAACAAAUCACAAAAAGAAAAUGCGGGGAAGAAAAGCUAGGACUUUUUGUUUUUGGAAAACCAGUUUUGUUCACUCUCGGUCUGAGACUUACUAUGCCUGAUUCCUUGGGUAUUUUGGUCUGAAAUUUUUACCAAACAUUUGUCAUUAUAUCCAUUGAGUGUUGGCCGAGACUUGAGCACCAAAUUCGUCCCAGAAGAUUUGUAAUAAAUUUUUUAUUCAUCACUGCCAGGGCUGAAAAGAAGUUUCGUUUGUGUGUGAAACCGUUUGAUUUUUUUGCUAUGUGAAUACUCAUCCAUUCCACCUGAAAUUUGUCGCGUUUUGUCUCAAAUUCAGUCAAGAUUCUUACCUGAAAUUUCAGGAAAAAACUAUUUUGGGAGAAUUUUACACAAACCAAGGCUAUCUCCUCUACCAAAACUUGCGAAAUUUCGCCUACUUUCUGCAAUUUUAUUCUAGGUGCGUAUUGCAUUUCAAAAUUUCACACAAGUACUUUCAUAUGUUGUUUUCACCCAGGUAAGGUGGCAGGUCCAUAAAAAAAUCACAAAAAGAAGAUACGGGGAAGAAAAGCAAGGACGUUUUAUUUUCGGAAAACCAGUUUUGUUCACUCUCGGUCCGGGACUUACUACGCCUUACUCCUUGAGUAUUUUGGUAUGAAAUUUUUACCUGACAUUCGUCAUUGUUUCCAUUGAGUUUUGGCUGAGGCUUGAGCCCCAAAUUCGUCUCACAAGAUUUGCAAUAAAUUUUUUAUUCAUAUCUGUCACGGCUGAAAGGAAGGUUCGUUUGUGUGUGAAACUGUUUGAUUUUUUGGCUAAGUGAAUACUCAUCCGUUUGACCUGAACUUUAUCGUGUUUUGCCCCAAAUUCAGUCGAGAUUCUAACCUGAAAUUUCAGGAAAAAACAUUUUUCGGAAGAAUUUUCUAGAAAUUUUGUGCAAACCAAGGCUAUCCUCUACCAAAACUUUCAAAAUUUCGCCCUACUUUUCGCAAUUUUAUUCUGGGUUUGUAUUGCGUUGAAAAAAUUCACCGAAGUACAUUCAUAUGUUUUUUUGCACCCAGGUAAGGAGACAGGUCAAUAAAAAAAUCACAAAACGAAUAUACGGGGAAGAAAAGCCAUGACGUUUUGUUUUCGGAACACCAGUUUUGAUCACUCUCGGUCUGAGACUUACUACGCCUUACUCCUUGGGUAUUUUUGUCUGAAAUUUUUACCAGAUAUUCGCCAUUGUUUCCAUUGAGUUUUGGCUGAGACUUGAGCCCCAAGUUCGUCUCACAAGAUUUGCAAUAAAUUUUUUAUUCAUCACUGCUGGGGUUGAAAGAAAGUUUCGUUUGUGUGAAACUGUUUGAUUUUUUUGCUACCUAAACACUCAUCCGUUUGACCUGAAAUUUUUCGCAUUUGGUCCCAAAUUCAAUCGAGAUUCUUACCUGGAAUUUCAAGAAAAAUAUAUUUUGGGAGAAUUUUACACAAACCAAGACUAUCCUUUACCAAAACUUGCGAAAUUUCGCCUACUUUCUGCAAUUUUCUUCUAGGUCCGUAUUGCAUUUAAAAAAUUCACACAAGUACUUUCAUAUGUUGUUUCCACCAAAGUAAGGUGGCAGGUCCAUAAACAAAUAACGAAAAGAAAAGAAUAUAUGGGGAAGAAAAGCCAGGACAUUUUGUUUUCGGAAAACCAGUUUUGUCCAUUCUCGGUCUGGGACUUACUACGCCUUACUCCUUGGGUAUUUUGGGCUGAAAAUUUUACCAGACAUUCGUCAUUGUGUCCAUUGAGUUUUGGCUGAGACUUGAGUCCCAAAUUCGUCCCACAAGAUUUUCAAUAAAUUUUUUAUUCAUCACUGCUAGGGUUGAAAGAAAGUUUCGUUUGUGUGUGAAACUGUUUGAUUUUUUUGCUACCUAAACACUCAUCCGUUUGACCUGAAAUUUUUCGCGUUUGGUCCCAAAUUCAAUCGAGAUUCUUACCUGGAAUUUCAAGAAAAAUAUAUUUUGGGAGAAUUUUACACAAACCAAAACUAUCCUUUACCAAAACUUGCGAAAUUUCGCCUACUUUCUGCAAUUUUCUUCUAGGUUCGUAUUGCAUUUAAAAAAUUCACACAAGUACUUUCAUAUGUUGUUUCCACCAAAGUAAGGUGGCAGGUCCAUAAACAAAUAACGAAAAGAAUAUAUGGGGAAGAAAAGCCAGGACAUUUUGUUUUCGGAAAACCAGUUUUGUCCAUUCUUGGUCUGGGACUUACUACGCCUUACUCCUUGGGUAUUUUGGGCUGAAAAUUUUACCAGACAUUCGUCAUUGUGUCCAUUGAGUUUUUGCUGAGACUUGAGUCCCAAAUUCGUCCCACAAGAUUUUCAAUAAAUUUUUUAUUCAUCACUGCCAGGGCUGAAACGAAGGUUCGUUUGUGUGUGAAAUUGUUUGAUUUUCUAGCUAGGUGAAUGCUCAUCCCUUUGACCUGAACUUUAUCACGUUUUGCCCCAAAUUCAGUCUAGAUUCUAAUCAGAAAUUUCAGGAGAAAAAAUUUUUCAGGAGAAUUUUCCAGAAAUUUUGUGCAAACCAAGGCUAUCCUCUACCAAAACUUUCGAAAUUUCGCCCUACGUUCCGCAAUUUUAUCAUGGGUCCUUAUUGCAUUGAAAAAAUUCACCAAAGUACUUUCAUAUGUUUUUUGCACCCAGGUAAGGACGCAGGUCCAUAAACAAAUCACAAAACAAAUAUACGGGGAAUAAAAGCCAGGACGUUUUGUUUUAGGAACACCAGUUUUGAUCACUCUCGGUGUGGAACUUACUACUUCUUACUCCUUGGGUAUUUUGGUCUGAAAUUUUUACCAGACAUUCGUCAUUGUGUCCAUUGUGUUUUGGUUGAGACCUUAGCCCCAAAUUCGUCCCACAAGAUUUGCUAUAAAUUUUUUAUUCAUCACUGCCAGGGGUGAAAGGAAGGUUCGUUUGUGUGUGAAAUUGUUUGAUUUUUUUGCUAGGUGAAUACUCAUCCGUUUGACCUGAAACUUCUAGUUUUUUGCCGCAAAUUCAGUUGAGAUUCUUACCAUAAAUUUUAGGAAAAAAAUUUUUCCGGGAGAAUUUUUCAGAAAUUUUGUGCAAACCAAGGCUAUCCUCUACCAAAAGUUGCGAAAUUUGGCCCAACUUUCCACAAUUUUAUUCUGGGUCCGUAUUGCGUUGAAAAAAUUCACUGAAGUACUUUCAUAUGUUUUUUGCACCCAGGUAUGGAGGCAGGUCUAUAAACAAAUCACAAAACGAAUAUCCGGGAAAGAAAAGUCAGGACGUUUUGUUUUCGGAACACCAGUUUUGAUCACUCUCGGUCUGGGACUUACUACGCCUUACUCCUUAGGUAUUUUUGUUUGAAAUUUUUGGAAGACAUUCGCCAUUUUUCCAUUGAGUUUUGGUUGAGACUUGAGCCCCAAGUUCGUCCCCCAAGAUUUGCAAUAAAAUUUUUAUUCAUCACUUCCAGGGCUGGAAGUUUCGUUUGUGUGUGAAACUGUUUGAUUUUUUUGCUACCUGAAUACUCAUCCGUUUGACCUGAAACUUUUCGCAUUUGGUUCCAAAUUUAAUCGAUAUUCUUACCUAAAAUUUCAAGAAAAAUAUAAUUUGGGAGAAUUUUACACAACCAAGACUAUCCUCUACCAAAACUUGCGAAAUUUCGCUUACUUUCUGCAAUUUUCUUCUAGGUCCAUAUUGCAUUUAAAAAAAUUCACUCAAGUACUUUCAUAUGUUGUUUCCACCCAGGUAAGGUGGUACGUUCAUAAACAAAUAACAAAAAAAAUAUAUGGGGAAGAAAAACCAGGACGUUUUGUUUUCGGAAAACCAGUUUUGUUCAUUCUCGGUCUAACACUUACUAUGCCUUAAUCCUUGGGUAUUUUGUUCUGAAAUUUUUACCAGACAUUCGUCAUUGUGUCCAUUAAGUUUUAUUUGAGACUUGAGCCCCAAAUUCGUCCCACAGGAUUUGCAAUAAAUUUUUUAUUCAUCACUGCCAGGGUUGAAAAGAAAGUUUGUUUGUGUGUGAAACUGUUUGAUUUUUUUGCUACGUGAAUACUCAUCCGUUUGACCUUAAACUUGUCGUGUUUUGCCGCAAAUUCAGUUGAGAUUCAUACCAUAAAAUUUAUGAAAAAACUAUUUCGGGAGAAUUUUUCAGAAAUUUUGUGCAAACCAAGGCUGUCCUCUACCAAAACUUGUGUAAUUUUGCCCUACUUUCUGAAAUAUUAUUAUGGGUCGCUGAAAAAAUUUCACGCAUGUACUUUCAUAUGUAUUUUGCACCCAGGUAAGGAGGUACGUCCAUAAACGAAUCACAAAAAGAAGAUACGGGGAAGCAAAUCCAGGACGUUUUGUUUUCGGAAAACCAGUUUUGUUCACUCUCGGUCUGGGACUUACUACACCUUACUCCUUUGGUGUUUUGGCCUGAAUUUUUUACCAGACGUUCGUCACUGUGUCUGCUGAGUUUCGGUUGAGAUUUGAGUCCUAGAUUCGUUCCACAAGAUUGGCAAUAAAUUUUUUAUUCAUCACUGCCAGGGCUGAAAGGAAGGUUCUUCUGUGUACGAAACUGUUUGAUUUUUUCGGUGGGUGAAUACUCAUCCGUUUGACCUGAAAUUUGUCGCGUUUUGUCCCAAAUUCAGUGGAGAUUCUUACGUGGAAUUUCAGGAAAAAACUCUUUCGGGAGAAUUUUUCAGAAAUUUUGUGCAAACCAAGGCUAACCUCUACCAAAACUUGUGAAAUUUCGCCCUACUUUAUGCUAUUUCAUUUCAGGCUCGUAUUGCGCUGAAAAAAUUCACACCAUUACUUUCAUAUGUUGUUUGCACCUAGGUAAGGAGGCUCGUCCAUAAACAAAUCACAAAAAGAAGAUACGUGGAAGAAAAGCCAGGACGUUUUGUUUUCGAAAAGCCAGUUUAGUUCACUCUCGGUCUGGGACUUACUACACCUUACUCUCUGGGUGUUUUGGUCUGAAAUUUAUACCAGACGUUCGUCAUAGUGUCUGCUGAGUUUUGACUGAGAUUUGAGCCACAGAUUCGUCCCACAAGAUUGACAAUAAAUUUUUUAUUCAUCACUGUUAGGGCUGAAAGGAAGGUUCGUCUAUGUGCGAAACUGUUUGAUUUUUUUCGUGGGUGAAUACUCAUCCGUUUGACCUGAAAUUUGUCGCGUUUUGUCCCAAAUUCAGUGGGGAUUCUUAGGUGGAAUUUCAGGAAAAAACUAUUUUGGGAGAAUUUUUCAGAAAUUUUGUGCAAACCAAGGCUAUCCUUUACCAAGACUUGGUGAAAUUUUGCCUUACUAUUUGCAAUUUUAUUCCGGGUCUGUAUGGGGCUGGGAAAAUUCACACAAGUACUUUCAUAUGUUGUUUGCCCUUAGGUAAGGAGGCACGUCCGUAAAAGAAUCACAAAGAGAAGAUAUGGGGAAGAAAAACCAGCACGUUUUAUUUUUGGAAAACCAGUUUUGUUCACUCUCGGUCUUGGACUUACUACACCAUACUCCUUCGGUGUUUUCGUCUGAAAUUUUUACCAGACGUUGGACACUGUGUCUAUUGAGUUUUGGCUGAGAUUUGAGCCCAUAUUCAUCCCACUAGAUUGGCAAUAAAGUUUUCUUAAUCACUGCCAGAGAUGAAAGGAAGGUUCGUUUGUGUGUGAAACUAUUUGAUUUUUCUCGUGGUCUAAUACUCAUCCGUUUGACCUUAAAUUUGUCGCGUUUUGUUUCAAAUUCAGGGAAGAUUCUUAGGUGGAAUUUCAGGAAAAAUAUAUUUCGGCAGAAUUUUUAAAAAGGUUUGUGCAAUACAAGGCUAUCCUCUACCAAAACUUGUGAAAUUUCGCCCUACUUUCGGCAAUUUUAUUCCGGGUACGUAUUGCGUUGAAAGAAUGCACACAAGUACUUUCAUGUGUUGUUUGCACCCAGGUAAGGAGGCACGUCCGUAAACAAAUAACAAAAAGAAGACACGGGGAAGAUAAGCCAGGGUGUUUUGUUUUGGGAAAGCUAGUUUUGUUCACUCUCGGUCUGGGACUUAUUACGUCUUACUCCUUUGGUGUUUUGCUUUGAAAUUUUUACCAGACGUUCGUCACUGUGUCUGCUGAGUUUUGGCUGAGAUUUGAGCCCCAGAUUCGUCCCACAAGAUUGGAAAUAAAUUUUUUAUUCAUCAAUGCCAGGGCUGAAAGGAAGGUUUGUCUGUGUGCGAAACUCUUUAAUUUUUUUCAUGGGUGAAUACUCAUCCAUUUUACCUAAAAUUAGUCAUGUUUUGUCCCAAAUUCAGUGGAGAUUCUUACGUGGAAUUUUAGGAAAAAACUAUUUCAGGAAAAAAUUAUUUCAGGACAAUUUUUCAAAAUUUUUUGUGCAAACCAAGGCUAUCAUCCUCUACCAAAACUUGUGAAAUUUCUCUCUACUUUCUGGAAUUUUAUUCCGGGUCCGUAUUGCGCUGAAAAAAUAAACACAAGUAUUUUCAUAUGUUGUUUGCACCCAGGUAAGGAGGCACGUCUGUAACCAAAUCACAAAAAGAAGACACGGGAAUGAAAAGCCAGGACGUUUUGUUUUCGGAAAGCUAAUUUUGUUCACCCUCGGUCUGGGACAUAAUACGCCUUACUCCUUGGGUGUUUUGGUGUGAAUUUUGUACCAGACGUUCGUCACUGUGUCUGCUGAGUUUUGGCUGAGAGUUCAGCGCGAGAAAUGUCCCACAAGAUGGGCAAUAAAUUUUUUAUUCAUCACUGUCAGAGCUGAAAUGAAGGUUCGUCUAUGUACGAAACUGUUUGAUAUUUUUCGUGGGUGAAUACUCAUCCGUUUGACCAGAAAUUUGUCGCGUUUUGUCCCAAAUUCAGUGGGGAUUCUGACGUGGAAUUUCAGGAAAAAACUAUUUCGGGAUAAUUUCUGAGAAAUUUUGUGCAAACCAAGCCUAUCCUCUACCAAAACUUGUGAAAUUUCGCCCUACUUUCUGGAAUUUUAUUCCGGGUGCUUAUUGCGCUGAAAAAAUUCACACAAGUACUUUCUUAUAUUGUUUGCACCCAGGUAAGGAGGCACGUCCGUAAAUACAUCACAACAAAAAGAGAUGGGGGAAGAAAAGCCAAUUUUGUUCACUCUCGGUCUAGGACUUACUACGCCUUACUCCUUGGGUGUUUUGGUAUGAAAUUUUUACCAGACGUUCGUCACUGUGUCUGCUGAGUUUUGGCUGAGAUUUGAGCCCCACAUUCAUCCCACAUGAUUGGCUAUAAAUUUUUUAUUCAUCAUUGCCAGGACUUAAAGGAAGAUUCGUCUGUGUGCGAAACUGUUUGAUUUUUUUCGUGGGUGAAUACUCAUUCGUUUGACCUGAAACUUUUUGCGUUUUGUCCCAAAUUCAGUGGAGAUUCUUACGUGUUAUUUCAGGAAAAAACUAUUUCAGGACGUUUGGUUUUCGAAAAGCCAGUUUUGUUCACUCUCGGUCUGGGACUUACUACGCCUUACUCCUUGGGUGUUUUGGCCUGAAUUUUUUACCAGACGUUCGUCACUGUGUCUGCUGAGUUUCGGCUGAGAUUUGAGUCCUAGAUUCGUUCCACAAGAUUGUCAAUAAAUUUUUUAUUCAUCACUGCCAGGGCUGAAAGGAAGGUUCUUCUGUGUGUGAAACUGUUUGAUUUUUUCGGUGGGUGAAUACUCAUCCGUUUGACCUGAAAUUUGUCGCGUUUUGUCCCAAAUUCAGUGGAGAUUCUUACGUGGAAUUUCAGGAAAAAACUCUUUCGGGAGAAUUUUUCAGAAAUUUUGUGCAAACCAAGGCUAACCUCUACCAAAACUUGUGAAAUUUCGCCCUACUUUCUGCUAUUUCAUUUCAUGUUCGUAUUGUGCUGAAAAAAUUCACACAAUUACUUUCAUAUGUUGUUUGCACCAAGGUAAGGAGGCUCGUCCGUAAACAAAUCACAAAAAGAAGAUACAUGGAAGAAAAGCCAGGACGUUUUGUUUUCGAAAAGCCAGUUUUGUUCACUCUUGGUCUGGGACUUACUAUGCCUUACUCCUUGGGUGUUUUGGUCUGAAAUUUUUACCAGGCGUUCGUCACUGUGUCUGCUGAGUUUUAGCUGAUAUUUGAGCCCCAGAUUUGUCCCACAAGAAUGGAAAUAAAUUUUUUAUUCAUCACUGCCAGGGCUGAAAGGAAGGUUCCAAUGUGUGCGAAACAAUUUGAUUUUUUUUGUGGGUGAAUAAUCACCCAUUUGACCUGAAAUUUCUCGUGUUUUGUCCCAAAUUCAGUGGACAUUUUUACGUAAAAUUUCAGCAAAAAAGUAUUUCGGGAGAUAUUCUAAAAAAUUUUGUGCAUAUUUUAUUCUGCAAUUUCGCACUACUUUCUGCAAUUUUAUUCUGGGUCCGUAUUGCGCUUAAAAAAUUCACACAAGUACUUUCAUAUGUUGUUUGUACCCAGGUAAGGAGGCACGUCCGUAAACAAAUCACAAAAAGAAGAUAUCGGGAAGAAAAACCAGGAAGUUUUGUUUUCGGAAAGCAAGUUUUGUUCACUCUUGGUCUGGGACUUACUACGCCUUACUCCUUGGGUGUUUUGGUCUGAAAUUUUUACCAGACGUUCGUCACUGUGUGUUAUGAGUUUUGGCUGAUAUUUGAGCCCCAUAUUUGUCCCACAAGAUUGGAAAUAAAUUUUUUAUUCAUCACUGCCAAGGCCGAAAGGAAGUUUUGUCUAUGUGCGAAAUUGUUUCAUUUUUUUCGUGGGUGAAUACUCAUCUGUUUUACCUGAAAUUUUUCCCGUUUUGUCCCAAAUUAUGUGGAGAUUAUUACGUGGAAUUUCAGGAAAAAAAUAUUUCGGGAGAAUUUUUCAGAAAUUUUGUGCAAACCAAGGCUCUAGCAAAACUUGUGAAAUUUCGCUCUGACUUUCUGCAAUUUUAUUCCAGGUCCGUAUUGUGCUGAAAAAAUUCACACAACUACUUUCAUAUGUUGUUUGUACCCAGGUAAGGAGGCACGUUCGUAAAAAAAUCAAAAAAACAAUAUACGGGGAAGAAAAGCCAGGACGUUUUGUUUUCGGAAAGCCAGUUUAGUUCACUCUCGGUCUGGGAUUUACUACACCUUACUCCUUGGGUGUUUUGGUAUGAAAUUUCUACCAGACAAUCUUCACUUUGUUUGCUAAGUAUUGGCUGAUAUUUGAUCCCCAGAUUCGUCCCACAAGAUUGAAAAUAAAUUUUUAUUCAUCAUUGCCAGGGCCCAAAGGAAGGUUCGUCUGUGUUCAAAACUGUUUGAUUUUUUUCGUGGGUGAAUACUCAUCCGUUUCACCUGAAAUUUGUCGUGUUUUAUCCCAUAUUUAGUGGAUAUUCUUACGUGGAAUUUUAGGAAAAAACUGUUUCGGGAGAAUUUUUCAGAAAUUUUGUGUAAACCAAGGCUAUCCUCUACCAAAACUUGUGAAAUUUCGCCCUACUUUCUGCAAUUUUAUUCCAGGUGCGUAUUUCGCUGAAAAAAUUCACACAAGUAGUUUCAUAUGUUGUUUGCACCGAGGUAAGGAGCCACGUCCGUAAACAAAUCACAAAAAAGAAAAUACGGGGUAGAAAAACCAGGAUGUUUUGUUUUCGGAAAGCCAGUUUUGUUCACUCUCGAUCUGGGACUUAGUACGCCUUACUGCUUGGGUGUUUUGGUCUGAAAUUUUUACCAGACGUUCGUCACUGUGUCUGUUGAGUUUUGGCUGAGAUUUGAGCCCCAGAUUCGUCCCACAAGAUUGACAAUAAAUUUUUUAAUCAUUAUUGCCAGAGCUGAAAGGAAGAUUCGCCUGUGUGCAAAACUGUUUGAUUUUUUUCGUGAGUGAAUACUCAUCCGUUUUACCUGAAAUUUGUUGCGUUUUGUCCCAAAUUCAGUAGAGAUUCAUACGUGGAAGUUCAGGAAAAAACUACUUCGGGAUAAUUUUUCAGAAGAUUUGUACAAACCAAAGCUAUCCUCUACCAAAACUUGUGAAAUUUCGCCCUACUUUCUGCAAUUUUAUUCCAGGUCCGUAUUGUGCUGAAAAAAUUCACACAUGUACUUUCAUAUGUUGUUUGCACGCAGGUAAGGAGGCACGUCCGUCAACAAAUCGCAAAAAGAAGAUACGGGGAAGAAAAGCCAGGACGUUUUGUUUUCGGAAAGCCAAGUUUGUUCACUCUCGGUCUAAGACUUACUACGCCUUACUCCUUGGGUGUUUUGGUCUGAAAUUUUUACCAGAAAAUCUUCACUGUGUCUGCUAAGUAUUGGCUGAUAUUUGAGCCCCAGAUUUGUCCCAUAAGAUUGGAAAUAAAUCUUUUAUUAAUCACUGCCAUGGCCGAAAGGAAGAUUCGUAUGUGUUUGAAACAAUUUGAUUUUUUUCGUGGGUGAAUACUCAUCCGUUUGACCUGGAAUAAAUUGAAGAAUAGAAGUAUGAUGAUUUGAUCCGUACAAAUACAUUGUUGAAAUUAAUUUUCUUAGCAGCAAUUAAUUGUCAUAUGUAUCUAUUUUGCCUUGUAGGAAAUCUCUAAACCAAAUGGCAGAUAACUUUGGAUAUCUUUUGAGGUUAUGGUAAUCUACAAAGAUUGUUCCAAACCUUGAAAUGUACCCUAAAUUCCAUUCGAAGCUGUCAGUUAAAGACCAUGCAAAAUAUCCUUUCACAUUCACGCCAUUCCUUAUAAAAUCAAACAAAAAAGUAAUACAUUAUCAUCAUAUAAUUAGGAAGCUUUUUUCUGCCCUUAGCACAUUUUGAACAUGGUGUAAAGUACUUACUCGAUUGCACUUUGAAGAUAAUAGAGGUGAUCAUAAAAGUAAUCAAUUCUUGAAGUAUCUGCUAAGGCUUCUUCAAGUGAUAGAGUGUGAUCAUUGAAUUCAUCUAUACCUAUAUACACAAGUGAAUAAAUUGUUUCAGUAUGAGAAGGGAAAACACAUUAUAUCAAUUCUCUCUCUUACUUCAAUGAUUUAAACUUUCAUACAUGAAAAUUUCAUGAUUAAACUCAACUGCUACAUUACCAUUUUCAGUGAUGUAGAUCAAAGGGUUGUUGUACUUUUUUUUUAUAUACAGCAACAGAUCAUGAAUUCCUUUUGGACAAACAUACAACCAUUUUGAAGUAGUCUGCAGAAUACAACUUUCAUUUUCUUCAUUGAAAAACUAAUUGAAAUGAAGCUUUGAUAUGUAGUUACAGUUUCAAUAAAAUGUAAUCACAAAUUUACCAUUUUACCAAUAGGUGUUCCAUUUCGCUCACCUGUCAAUAUUCUACAUCAUUCUCUACUAUUAACAAAAAUUAACAAUAUAAAUACUUGAUUUUGAUUCAUCAGCUGCAAUUUGUGUUGGACCUCAAACAUAUAUAUAACUAAAUUCCGUCAUUUAUCUUCUUUCACACGUUAAAGUCUAUAAUCAAUAAUGAGAUAGAUAUUAAGGAGCCCUUACUUGUAAGAAUAAGAAGAGAAUCUGUGAGGUAGCUAGGCCUUGCUUCACUUAACUCAGGUGUAUCAGUAGCAUAAUAAGAAGUAUAGUAGUUUAAUCCAAUAAAAUCAAAGGACCCUCUUACAAGUUUGAUCUCAUCAGCAGAAAACUUUGGUAAUCGACUCCCUACCAAAGAUUGCAAGGAUUUAGGGUAUUCUCCAAUUGUCAAUGGCUCCAUAAACCUACAAUACAGUAGUUGAAUAAAUUAGUUAUAGAGAUUAUUAGUUUAAUCCUAGCAUUAUAGUUGAGUAGAUAAUGAGUAUUUAUUGUAGGAUUUUUCAUCUGAAUAACCUGUCAUGGAUUGGACUGCUCUUUUGGUGUUCUUCAUGAUAAGUUUUGUGUUCUUAUCUGACCACUAUAUCAAGCUUUUGUCCCUUUAGUCAGACUAUAUAUGUCUCUGACUAAUCAUAAAAUGAAAGUAAUUUCUCUAAGUACACACACAUUCUAUAACGUUCCAGAGUUAAAUUGUUAUGAGGAAAACAUAUUUCUCCUACAAUAUAUUGACUUAAAAUGAAAAAAUAAGUUAGAAUCACUAUCAUACUGUAGUUGAGCUCCACAUAAGAAUUUAGGUUCAUAAAGUAGUUACCAUCCAAACAUAAAAUCAAGGGCUCUUUCUGCAGCAAACUGAUCGGACUCUGUAUCAUAGAGUGGUACUAUCCAAUGACAUGACAGUGAUAUCCCAUCACACCCUUUUGAGACACCUACAUACAUGAAGCAAAAUUUAAGUUUAGGACUAGUUUAUUAUGACUCUUUGAUUGAAUAAGGAAACCAAUACACUUAUUUUGAUUGCAUUUCAAAAUACAAAAUUUGUAAUUGAACCUGAUAUUUUGUCUUAUAGACAUUGAAAGCAGCCGCAUGAGCAAGUAAUUGAUUGCAACUCACUGUGUAGGGUUCAAUGGCUGAAUCACCAUCAGUACAAGAUAAGUUUUGCCAGGUUGAACAAAUUCUAGGUGGUGAAAUAGCAUCAGCAUACCCAUAUUUACUAAAGGUCCAUGGUUCAUUUAAUGUAAUCCAAUGUUUUACCCUGUCUCCAAAUUCUUUAAAACAAAGUUCUGAAAAUCUUGAAAAUCAUUCCUAGAUAAUGGUAAAAAAAAGUAGAUAUCAGUUAAAGUAUGUUUACACAAAUAAUAUAUUUUGACUAUUAAAUAUAAGAAAUGUGAAUUACACUAUAUCAAGACUUAAAAAACCAUCAUAUUCGUAAUGGUCACAAAGGUUUAAGACCUGCAUUAUGCCAACUCUAUCGACAUCUUGCAAUGCCAACUCCAAUCUGUUGGCAUAAAUGUGUGUAACCUUUCAACAUCAUGUACACUUCCAAACUCAUCAAAAUAUUCUACAUAAUUGUUUGCAAAUGUAAAAUGACGGGUUGUUUUGGAAUACCUUUUGCUUUGUCAACUCCCAAUCUGAAACAGACGUCCUCACAAACAUAUUUUGCCAGAUCGGUCAUGCAUGACAAAACAUGUUUUAUAACUGUUUGAUUGUUGAAAGAAAGACCUCGAUAAUAGAUCAUUAAAAUAUUGUUCACCUGUAUCUUCUGGACUCUUCUUAGCAUGUUUAUGACAUUGUACAAAAUUUUCAGCAAUCCACUCCACAAUUGAAUUAAGCACUCCUUAUCAAACUCAUAAUCUUUAUGAAAUAACGCACAAUAAGCAAUCUCUUGAGAUGGGAGGGAAGAUGGUUAUAUCUCAGUGAUAAAGCAAGAAUAACAUCACUAUCCUAUAAUUCCCAAAUUUCACAUUCUAAUACAUUUUUCCAUUCUGAAACGGAUGAUUUAUUCCAUAGCAGUCUGUAUUUGGUUGAGUAUCAUUUUGAAAUACAUGUUUUGCAAACAACUGCCAGCAAUAGUCUUCUUGUAAUUCCUUCAGGUGGUGUUCUUCUGAGUGCAUGGGGAGAGCAACUUUCUUACUGCGUGUGGUCACAAGAAUCCAACUUCCAUAAGCCCUAGAAUCAAGAGUUUUCUGCAUUUGUUCCCAUCUAGACCUUGUAGAGAAGCCAGCCUGUGAAAUGCAACCUGAAGGAAAGCAGAGAGAAGAGCAGCACCAACCAACUCUGCAGCCAUGGUAGGAACUCGGAAAGGGAGUAGAGUAGAUGAAUGAAAAUUGCAGCUAGUGGCAAUGGCUCAGUGCAGGGUUAAUGUUCUGAGUCAAUUGAUCUUCUUUAAUGCUGCUGAAUCAACAUAAUCAUCUUUUUCUUUGAUUCCCAAUCAAUCAAUAAUAAUGGUCAAUUUUGGUGGAAACUAGUCAAUAAAUAAACCCAAAUGAUAUAACAUUGCGUUUAUAUCUGAAAACACCAUAUUAUAUAUGACAAAGAGAUUGAUUUUAAAUUUAAAAGUAUUAUUAACUAAAAAUAUAAUAUGAUAUUAAAACAAAAAUACAAAUAAACACAAUUUUAAAAUAUAUUAAAAACAUAGAAUUUAUUUAAGGUUUAUAAGUAUUGCAUUUAUAUUUCCUAAUUAAAAUGAUGGAGGGUGAAUGGUUACAAACUUUCUGCAGCACUACCAACAAAAGAGAAAAAUAGUUGAUACACAAUCAAAACAAAAAUAAAUUGUUGCUCACCAAAACCACAUUAUUUAAAAUAGUUCUCUAUAUAUCUAGGCGUUGAAUGUGAGCAAUCUUUUCCCAGUCUUGGCCUCCUUCUUCGCAACGCUGUUUGAGCAAAGGACACUUGUAUAUUUCAAGAUAUGAAAUUGAUUUUGGAAGACCCUCCUUCGGUAAGCGUUGGAGGUUGCGGCAGACCAAAAGUCUGAGUGAUUGAAGGGAUGAGAGUUGAUGGAGACCCUUGUAAUCCAGUUUUUCUAGAUUUGUACAAUGAGAGAUGGUUAGAGAAGUAAGAGAGAGUGGAAGCAAACCUUCAACAGGAAAACAUUUUGCAUCCACUUCUUCAAUGCUCAACCUUUCAAGAGAAGAACUGUGUACGAUAGCUCCUUUCGGUGAGCCAACAAGUCUAGAGCAGUUAUUGAUUUUCAUCUCUUCUAGAUUUGAUGGCAAACCUCUGUCAGGGAACGACUCAAGUCUUGGACAGUCUUCUAUGGAUAGAUACCUGAGAGAUGGAAGCAGCAUAUGCAUGUUUGCAGGCAAUGAUUCUAAUUUAUGGCACCUACUGAUUUCCAGAUGCUUCAGAUGAUUAUGGAUGAGACUCUGUGAAAUCAUCUGUAAAUUACAAAUCCCAUUUAGUUGAAGGGUCGUGAGUGUUUGGAAGAAAUCCAGUGGAAAGAUACACAGAGAGACACAGUCAUCAGUUAUUGACUCCACAAUUGAAUAUAUCCGUAACUGAUCAAAAGUGUUGGACGACCCUACAAUUUCCCGAAAUGAUGCUUCCAUGAUGUGCCAACCAAUUGUAAGCCAUCUCAUUGUAGCCAACUCCAACAGCAGCUUUCCACAGUCAUGUAGUUUUAAAUAUAUUGCCCUGGGAGCGCAACCCUCAAGUUGUUGGCAGUCUUCAAUUUGUAGUCUUUCCAAAGGAACAUCUGGCAGCUGUCCUUUCAGCUUCGGACAAUUUCUUAUGGAAAGCUGUCGUAGACAUGGAAAAGCACCUGUAAGAGCUUGGCACUCCCAUUUUUCCCAUUGACUCAUAUUGGAGAACUCCAAUGUUUCAAGCGAUUUAAAUGAACAAGAGUUGUUCCCAUGAAAAUCACCAUCAAUUCUCACUAUCUCAUCAAACCCUGAAAUCUCCAGCUUCUUCAGAAAUGGCAAAAGACCAAGCGGAGGAAAAUGUUGGCAACAUGUACAUUUCAUCAACGCUAAGGACACCAGAUUCAGUAACGAAUUAUCGAGUAACCAAUUUGGAAGUUGUUUACCAACAUAUUUCCUUACUGUUAACUUCUUCAAGUAGUUUGAAGGUCGUAGAUUCUCAAUUACAUCCCCAACUUUGGUUGAAUCAACAGAGGAGCUGCCCAUAAUAUUCCAUUCUAACUGUAGCUCCACAAGGUCUGGUUUGUUCUUCAAAUCUGCUUCUAAUGCAUAAGAGGGAUUCUCUAUAUUCUGCAGCUCAUGAAUUGUUAGACUUCCAUGGAGAUUGAGUUCUCCUAAUUGCUGAAUACUGAAUUCCUUAUUUUUCUCAACGUAAAACGAACUCAUGGAUACUUGGAGAUUCUUCCGCUUUCCCAAAUAUGCUGGCACAAUUUUCACUCCAGUUUUCAUAAAUUCAAGGCAUCGCAAAUUGUCCAGUUGUUGCAAAUAUGAGGGAAGCUCCUUCAAUCUUGGACAAUAGUUCAACUUCAGUAUUUGCAACUUGUAGAGUAAACUUAUGGAGUCAGGUAGUUUUUCUAUGUCAGUAGAAGAGAGAUCUAAUGAACGGAGAUGUUUAAGAUUUCCUAUAGAUUUAGGCACCUCUGUAAGGUUACGACAAUGAGACAAAGAGAAGACGCGUAUGAACUUAAAUUUGGAGAACAAGUCAUCUAUCGACAUCUUACAAUACCAAAACCAAAAAAAACUAUACAUUCCCCGAUCAGUUGGCAUAAAUGUAUGCAACUUUUGAGUAUCAAUCAAACUUCCAAACCCAUCAAAAUAUUUGACACGAGUAGUUGGAAAUGAAAAAUGACGGCUAGUCUUGGGUAUACCUUUUGGUUCAUCAACUCCUAACCUGAUGCAGAUGUCCUCACAAACGAAUUUUGCCAAAUCAUUUAGAAGGUCAUGCAUGAUAAAAUGCUUUGCCCCUUCUUUUCCGGAUUCUUGAAAGAAGGACCAAGAUAACAGAUCAUUGAAAUAGUGUUCUCCAACCUCUUUAGGACUCCUUUUCUGUAGAGGGCUUUCUAGAAAAUUUUCAGCCAACCACAGUUGAAUUAAACACUCCUUGUCAAACUCAUAACCUUUGGGAAACACCGCACAAAAAGCAAAGCAUUUCUUCAGAUGAGAAGGAAGGUGGUGAUAACUCAGUCUUAAAGCAGGGAGAACAUUACUUUCAUUUUCUGAAAAAUCCCAUAUCUCACUUUUCAUAAUGUUUUCCCAUUCCCAAAAGGAUGAUUUAUUGUGUAAUAGACUUCCCAUUGUUUUCAAGGCUAAAGGAAGCCCAUUACAUUUUUCAACUAUCUUCUUACCAAUCUCCAUGAACUCUGGAUCCGGUUGAGGACUACCACUUUGGAAUGCAUGUUUUGCGAACAGGGCCCGACAAUAAUCUUCUUUUAAUACCUUCAAAUGGUGUUCUUCUGACCGCAUGGCAACAGCAACCUUCUCACUUCGUGUAGUGACAAGAAUCCUACUUCCUUGGGCCCCAAAACGAAGAGCUUUCUGCACUUGUUCCCAUUUAGAUUGGUUUUCGUUCCAAUUGUCAUCCAAAACCAGAAGAAAUUUCUUCCCCGUCAAUUUUUCUUUCAGUCUUCUCUGAACCACUUCCUGCUGUAUACUAUGAUCAGUUGAACCUGUAAUUGUGUCAAGAAUUGCUCUUGAUACAUUGAGAACAUCAAAUUCUUGUAAAACACUGACCCAAGCUUUAAUAUCAAAUUUACCUUCAAUCCUUGGGUCAUUGAAUACAUGUUGAGCAAGUGAGGUCUUACCCAAUCCACCCAUGCCCAGAACAGAAAGUAUAGAAAGGUUGCUGUGAGUGUCAGAUGUGAGCCAGUUAAGGACAAAUUCUUUGUCAUCAUCUCUGCCAUAAAUAACACUUUCAUUUGGCAAGGAUGUAUAUGUUAAUUUACUACUCGAUCCUGAUCCAACCCCAACACCACUAGUCUUUUUCAAACCUAGAAAUUCGCUUUGGGUUGCAAGAUCUUCUAGGUCCUCAAUGACUUGUUCCAUCUUGGAUUCAAUUUCAUUUUCAAAGAAAGUGACAAAAGAAGAUUUGAGGGAAUUCCACACCUUGUUAGUAGCACUCUGAGACUCAGCUUCCACUUGCCGGCUUUUGGAGAGUUCAUAAUCAAUUUCUUCCAAGAGAUCUUCUGCAUCAAACACAACAUCUUUGGCCCUGAGAAGCCAAUCUCUCACACGUGGAUCUGUGAACUGCUUUUGCUCUGCAUCAAAAGCCACAGCAUCAAUGGCUAGGAGUUUCAUCUUCAAGUCGCUGAGUUGCUUCUUUUUGUGUUUUCUUGCACGAAAUAUGUCGACAAAACGGGAAGCCAAAGUGUCAAUAGUCCUCUCGAUGAAAGUAGAAAGAAGAGCACCAGUAACCAUUUCUGCUGCCAUGGUAAGAAGAGGAAAGGGAGUGGAUGAAUGAAACUGAGUAAUUUGGUGUGAAGCUUAGGCCUUUGAUUGGGUGCAGUGCAAUGGAAAUAAUAGUUAGCCAAUAAUGAUGGUCAAUUUCGGUGGCUAACUAAUCAAUAAAUAAACCCAAAUCAUCUAACAUUGCAUGUAUAUAUUUAGAAAUAACAUUGUAAAGGACAAAAAGAAAUUGAUGUUGCAGUAAAGUAUAAUAUAACUGCAACUCAUUACAUGAAUAAUUAGAUUAUAACUAAGUAUGAUGCAGCUGCUAUAUAGUAGUAGAUUAAAGUAUGAGGCAGGUAACAGCAGUGUAUUAUAAUAAUGAGGAAUUUUAUGCAUGGUUGCUUAAAGAUGGUUCUGAAGUGCAGAUAGUGGCAAGUUCUGACGAAAUGAGUGGUAAUGAGUUAUUUUAUGAAUGAUUGCUUUAUUUUAAGGUUGGUGAGCAUAAUUUGUUUGUGAUGGCCUAAGCCAAUAAUAAUUAUAAAUUUCAGCCACAAACUAACAAGUAAAUAAAUCCAAGAAAUCUAACAUUGUGUGAAUAUUUGAAAACACCAUAUAGUAUUGGACAAAGAGAAAUUGAGUUUGCAGUAAAAUAUAAUAUAACAUACCUGCAACUCUUUCCAUAUAAUGCAACUCAUUUCAUAAUAUGCAAAUAAAGUUACAUUAAUUGGUUAACAUUCUCUUCAUUUCAAAGGGAAAACCACAUAAUCAAAAUUCUGUUGUCCAUAUAACGUCUUUCAAUAAUAUUUUACAAAACUUCUUCCUUAACCUCCAUUUUCCCUUUUAACUCCUUAUUUUAAGUUUCAAAAAUAUUUUAACUCCCCACUUUUUUAUUAACCUCCACACUUCCUCUAACUCUUAUUUUGAGUUACUAACCCACAAUCCUUUUGGGAAGGAAUUCUUUUCAGAGAAUAGGAAGAAGGCAAAAGUAACAGAAGUAUCAUUCUUUCUAUUCCUAAUUCCUAUGUUUGCUCUCUAACGCAAGUUCCCUUCUAUCUGAAAAGGCCGAGCAAAUUAAAACAAAUACCAUCAUAGUGCCGGGGAGAUCCAACGGGUCAUGAAGAGCUCCGACGAGGUCAUGAAGGUUGAGCUUUUGCUUUCUUUCGCUUCCCCUUGAACAUCACAGUUCCCCAUGUAGAGCUCUUCCAAGCUUGUCAACCUCGAUAUCACGUUGCCAGGAAUUCCUCCUAGUGUUGAGCAAUCAGUCAAAUCUAGCAACCGAAGAUUACUUAAUCCUCCUAUUUCUGCAGGGAGCUCUUUAAGCUCAGAUUUCUCCAAGCUGAGAAUCUCUAAACUUGUGAUUUCUCCAACAGUUGCUAUGUCUUCCAACAUGCACUGAAAGUGUGGAACAGGGAGGUUUUUGGGAAUCUUCAUACUACGAAGAGUAGGAUUCUACAGGAGUUGGAGGUUCUAGACGGCAGAGACUGUAAUGGGGGUCUAGAGGAAAGCGAUAGAAUCAAAAGAAUGGAGCUGACAAGCCAUUUGGUAGAGAAUGAUAAAAAACUUGAGUCUCUUAUAUGCCAAAAGGCUAGAACAAAUUGGUUUAAGAGUGGAGAUUCGUGUACUAGGUUUUUUCACUCAUCUUUGAGGUGGAGAAGACUUAGGAACGAAGUGAAGGGUGUCCAGGUGGGGGACCGAUGGUGUGAGGAACCGGGAACAGUCCGGUUGGAGGCGAAAAAGCUGUUUGAAGCCAGGUUCAAUGCUACGAAAGAUCUGGGGGUGAGGUUGGAUGAGGUUGAGUUCAAGACUCUAACCUUAACGGAUAAUGAGGGGCUGGUGGCUGGUUUCACUGAGAAAGAGAUUAAGGAUGCUGUGUGGCAGUGUGAUGGAUCAAAGAGCCCAGGCCCAGAUGGGUUCAAUUUUAAUUUUAUCUGGAAAAGUUGGGACUUUGUGAAAGAGGAGUUAAUGGUAACAAUGGCCUCUUUUCAAGCAACAGGGAACAUCCCGAAGGGUUGUAAUGCUUCAUUCAUUGCACUUAUCCCGAAGGUGAGGGACCCCGCUAUGCUGGAGCAAUACAAACCCAUAUCUUUGGUGGGUGUCAUUUAUAAAAUUUGUACCGUCCCGUAUCCGGGCGUUGACAAAGUCAAGGUCAAAGUCAACACCAGGAGUCAAGGUCAACACAAGGCGUCGCCUAGGUGAAGAGACGCCACGUACCAGUGUCGCCAAGAGGAAGCGUCGCCAAGGCAAGGCGUCGCCUAGGUGAAGGCGUCACCCAACCAGGGCGUCGCCAAGAUCAAAUAUUACUAAGGCAAGGCAAUCACAGUGUGGUUCCCCGAUACCCAUGGAUAGGAAAGACCAUGGAGGGAGCGACGCCGUGGGAAGGCCUCAGGUCCCGAUGACCCGGGGGAGUGAUAAAGAGAAGAGAAAGGUGGCUUCAAGGCCAUAGUAACAACACCAGUGUAGGGUAGCCUGACUCGUGAAGUACCCCUGCCGCCCCAGAGACGCCUUUGGGACAGAUACGACUCAAGAGGAAGGUCACGCCCAGGGUAGCCGGGUGCAGGGUGCGAGAGGAAGGCAGAUACGCUCUCAAAGUGAGUGACUAGAUGAUUGGGGGCAUGAGUUGGCACCCAAAAAGUCACCCCUUGCGUAGUAGCACUCCCAAGCAGGAGGACUCACACGUAGAAACGUCCCCGGAUGGGGCCAUGGCGCUGUGAGUCCCUCCACGAGUACGACAGCCAGGUCAGAAUAGAAACACCCUUUAGCCAGGUACCAGGUAAUUAAAGUCAUUUAAUACAGUUUCUGUUUCGAGCGUUUAAGGUACUAUAAAGGCUCCCAAGCGUUUCAACGUCUUAAAUGCGCUACGUUUUCUAAUUAGACACGCUGAUUGAGUGCGUUACGUUUGUGAUUAAAAGCGCUUUAAGGCGCUUUAAAUGCUUGGGUAGUUUAAAUAGCGCUGAGAAUGUUGGGAACGGGGUUGGGACUUUUGGCAAAUUUUCCAGAAACUCUUUAGUUGCUUGCUCGAGCCUUGAGGUUACGCACAAGGGACUAGGGAAAGAUCUUUGCCAAAAGGAGAAAAUAUACACUAGACACAGUUCCUUUUUUACCACCUUCAGAGUGCCAUACGCGGUGCUCCGAUACGGAGGUGCAUAGUUUUUGGUGUUUCUUGCUGGCUGACUUGAGCGUCGGAGUGCAAACGGCCGCUAGGGCGCCCCUUUGUCUUUUUUUUGCAGGAAUCCACAGGUACCCAAGGGAAAGGAGUCCCUAGCUGACGGUUGAGGUCGCGCACGAAGACGUCCCAGGUCAACCGGACGGAACAAAAUCAUUACAAAGGUGUUUGCUGGAAGAUUGAAGAAGGUGUUGCCUGCGAUUAUUGAUGAAAGCCAAUCAGCGUUCCUUAAGGGUAGAGGGAUCUUGGAUAGUGUUCUGAUGGCUAAUGAAGUGGUGGAAGACCUCAGAAAGAAGGGGAGAAGCGGUAUUUGCCUAAAAGUGGACUUUGAGAAGGCCUACGACUCGGUUAGAUGGGAUUUCCUUUAUGAUAUGUUACACAAAUUGGGGUUCCACAAUGUUUGGAUUUCGUGGAUCAGAGGGUGUCUGGAAUCUGCUACUGUGUUAGUCUUAGUGAAUGGGAGUCCUACGGAGGAGUUUAAACCUUCUAGAGGGUUGCGACAGGGUGACCCCCUGGCACCCUUCUUGUUUAUAGUGGUAGCUGAAGGACUUGCAGGGUUAGUAAGACAAGCGUUGAAGGUUAAUUUGCUUACGGGCCUUAAGAUAGGAAGGAAUGAGGUGGAGAUGUGUAUGUUACAGUUUGCGGACGACACUCUCUUUCUGUGUGAUGACACCUUUGGAAAUGUGCUAACCUUGAAGGCCAUUUUGAGGGGCUUUGAGCUAGCCUCAGGUCUGAAGAUCAACUUCCAUAAGUCAAGGUUAGCAGGCAUUAAUGUACAAAGCAGUAAGAUAGGGUGUUUCACUAAGACGUUGAAUUGCAUUCAGAUGGAAGUACCGUUCAAAUAUUUGGGUCUGGAGGUGGGAGGGAACCCAAGAAAGAAGCAAUUCUGGAAACCAGUUAUAAGCAAGUUGAAAGCAAAACUCAGUGUUUGGAAGGGGAGAUUUUUAUCCAUGGCAAGGAGGAUAUGCCUAAUCAAUUCUGUUUUAACCGCAAUUCCUUUGUAUUACCUCUCUCUUUUCAGAGUACUGGCUUCGGUGUGUAAAAGGAUUAUUAGUAUUCAAACAAGAUUUUUAUGGGGCUGGGGGAAACUAACCAAGCCAAUUGCUUGGGUUAGCUGGAAUGAUGUUUGCAGACCAAAAGAGGAGAGAGGGUUGGGGUGUAGAGAUAUACGCUUGUUUAAUCAAGCUCUACUAGCCAAGUGGAGAUGGAGGUUUCUUUCGGAGGAGAACGGAAGAUGGAAGAUGCUGUUGGAUUCUAAAUACAACAUGGGGGAUGGAAACAGUCAAACACCUGUCAAAUAUCAAUCUUGGUGGUGGAGAGACCUCGCUAAAGUAUGCAAGGUUGGCGGAGGAAGAGGGUGGUUUCAGGAAGAGCUAGGUUGGGAUGUAGGUUGUGGUGACAAAGCAAAGUUCUGGGAGGAUGUAUGGAUUGGUAGUGUCGAUCUUAAGUCCUUGUUCCCGCGCUUAUACUCUUUAUCUUUAAACCAAGGUAAAGCAGUGGGGGAGAUGGGUGUAUGGGAUGAUACGGAGUGGAGGUGGGACUUGAGGUGGAGGCGUGACAGAUUUGUAUGGGAAUCAUCUCUGGAGAGGGACCUUAUUCUACUUCUAUCAAGGGUCAUUAUGAGAAAGAAUGUCCAGGAUAUCCAGGUUUGGGGGAAGGAGAUACCGGGGCUGUUUUCGGUGAGCUCGGCGUAUGAGUGUCUAUCUAAGCAUGGUAGAGGGAACAAUGUCGAAGUGUUUAAGCUUCUGUGGGAGGUGAAGGCCUUUCCAAAUGUAUUGGUAACUGCCUGGAGGGUGUUUAAGGGGAGAAUCCCCACUAGAGUGAGUUUGAGCCGGAGAGGAAUGAUAUUGAACUCAACAGUGUGUCCCUUGUGUCUGCUACAGGAAGAGACCUGUCAACAUCUCUUCAUGGAUUGUAAAUAUGCUCAACAGGUAUGGUCUCAAUGCCUUCAGUGGGUAGGCAUUUCUUUUGUGGAGCAUCAUGAUCUUAAGCGGCAUUUCCUAAGUUUCCACUUGUUUCAAGUUAGUAACAAGCAGAAUAAGAUCUGGAAAGGGGUCUGGGUUAAUGUUAUUAGAAGUAUAUGGGACCAAAGGAAUCUGAUUACCUUUCAUCAAGGGGUGGUAGAUGCAGAGGAGAUAUUCCAGAGGGCCCAACUUAAGUCUUGGAUGUGGCUGAAGCAUAAAGCCCAUUCGUUUUCUUAUUCUUUUACAGAUUGGAUUUUCAACCCAAUUAUCUGCAUUAAAAGCUGCUAAUGUUUCCUGGUUUUGGGUCUCCUGAAGAAGCUGGUUUUUCUGGUUGGUAUCAUGUGAAGGUUAUGGUUCGGUUGGAACCUGUGAUGGUGAUGGAGUGAAUCCCUUGGGGUUGCUGCUGUUACCUGCAUUGGGGUUGGUCGUGUAAAGGUGGACUGGUUGGCUGGUUGGACUGCUAUAUUUCGUAUGUGUAGGGGGGUCGGUGAAGGAAUGAAGGUUUCAAUUGGAGAGGGUGUGAUUAGAAGGGUGCCGUGGGGAGCAGCUUGGAAAACUGGUGAAGAGUGUUAGGAUUUUUUAGGUGCUGUUGUGCUGUUCUUUGGAGUGCAGUUUGGUGUUGGGUGCUGUUAUUUUAUUGGUUCUGUCAUUUGGUUCUUUUAUAAGUGAUGGUUUGGGUUUGACAUUCCCUUUUGUAGACUUAGGGUUUUGGUUAUACUUUCUUUUGUGGAAGUGUAACUUUGUGGCUGUGGUACACGGGUUGGGAUACCCCUUAAGUAUCCCCUUAAUUUUAUUAUUGCUGAUAAAAAAAAAAUGAAGGUUGAGCUUGAAGAACGUCAAGGUUUGGAUCUACACAAGAGUAACAACAUCACAAUCGAAGGUUGUUCGAUUUGGACACAGUGGAAGAAUUAAGGAGCAAGGCAAUAAUACAAAAAACAACUCAGAAAAUGAGAUUGGAGGCAAAAUACUUGAGCAGGGUAUGUCCAACAGAAUUCAGAGAGAUAGAUCUGGUAUUAAGGAAAGCAGGAGAAUCAAAUAUGCAUAGCAAGUUAGCACCAAAAUGGAUCAAACCUUAUCAAAUUCGAGAGGUGAUCGGAAGAGGAGCAUAUCGAUUGAAAAUGUUAAAUGGUGGACUCAUACCAAGAACUUGGAACAUGACUAAUCUACGUUUUUAUUACAGUUAAUUAAACAUUUGUGAAAUAUCUGUUGGUUUGUUUAAGUUGAAUUUGAUACAGUUUAAUUUGUUUAAAAAUUCAUGUUUCUUGGAAAUAAGAUCGUUUAUUCAGUAUAUUACAACAUGGUGUGUACAAGUUUGUAAUUCACAGGAGAUCAGCCUCGGUCCUUUGAAAAACAAAAAAACCAUGUAAGGGUCUUAAUACAAAAACCAUGUGUGGGUUCUUAUCCUGCACGGUAUGUAGCACAAUUGUCGCUUCCUUGUGAAUGAAGAACCAAGCAUGAAUGCCAUAAGACAAAAAAUAGUUGAGAGUCGAGAAAUAAAAGAAAACCGGGAAUGAUCUCGGUCUAAAGCAAGGUACGAGGACUGCAUAAAGCAUAUCAUUAUUCAUAAAUUAUCUGUGUAAGUCAUUCCAAUUCGAAUUUGCUUAAACAUAAAGCAUAUCUUAGUGUAUGAAAAUUAUAGUAUUUGUUCAGAAGAUGAGCAGGAUCAUAAACAUGUUUGUUAAAUAAGAGAGGUGGGAUCAUGGAAGAGACUAGUGGAAUAUAUAUACGUAGAGGCAAUUCAUUAAGCAGUUGCUAAAACAAAAUAUAAAUAUAGUAGCUCAUAGUUAAAGUGUUUCUAAGAGUUUUUCAAGUUAAGACAGUAAAGAACUGAAAGUCAUUGAUCAACACUUUUGAAGGGAUCAAACGUGGACGUAUCCAGAUGAGGGUAAAGAACGUGAAAUUGCUCAAGUGCUCCAUUGAAACCUUCGACAAAGCACCGACCACUCUCAUCUUUGACAGUUUCCAAGGCAGUAUUCAGGGUCGAUAUCUUGCCUUGGAGCAUGUUCUCUGUAGACUCCCAAGCCCAAUUUGCGGCUUCACGUUCAUCGAUGGUCCUUUGAAGUUUGGCAAGGGCAUCGUCCCUAUCUUGAGCCAUUUCAGAAAGCUUGGCUUCAAGCUGAGCGACCUUCAGAUUGGCGUCUUCAAGCUCUUUCUUGGAUUUUUGAAUUUCCUCGACUUCGUGUUUCAACUGAUUCUGAACCAUUCGAUCAAAGGUAGAGAGGAUUUCGGGCCACGAGGACUUCUGGCUUUGGAGAACAAGGGCAUUGUCUCCUCUUUGACAUGACCACGUGGAAGAUGAGCCCUGAUGGUUGGAAGCUUGCUCCUGGUGCAAGUCAGUAUAGUAAGCAGAAGGGCGAUUGGGAACAAGACGUUUUGUUUCGAAGGGCACGAUGGCUGUCUUUUCGGAGUCGACGGCAGUAGGAGCGGUAUUGGUUUUUUCCUUGAUUUGAUGUUCUCUUAAUACCGGCAGGAGGUGCUUUUCUGAUCGCAUGGUAACAGAAACCUUCUCACUACGUGUAGUGACAAUAAUCUUACUGCCUUGGCCUCCGAAAAGUAGGGGCUUCUGCACAUCUUUCCAUUUCGAUCGUCUUUCGUUCCCAACGUCAUCCAAAAUGAGAAGAAAUUUCUUCCCUGUUAAUUCUUCUUUCAGUCUUCUCUGAACCACUUCCUGCUCUAUACUAUGAUCAGUUGAACCAGUAACUAUGUCAAGAAUUGCUCUUGAUACAUUGAGAACAUCAAAUUCAAGUCGAACACUCACCCAAACUUUAAUAUCAAAGUCAAUCCUUGGGUCAUUGAAUACAUGUUGGGCAAGUACAGUCUUACCCAAACCACCCAUGCCCAUAAUAGAAAGUAUAGAUAGGUUUUUGUGAGUGUUAGAUGUGAGCCAUUUAAACACAAAUUCUAUGUCUUUAUCUCUGCCAUACAUAACACCUUCAUUUGGCAAAGAUGUAUAUGUUAAUUUACUACUUCAUCCUGAUCCAACACCAAUACCACUAACCUUUUUCAAACCUAGAAAAUCGCUUUGGGUUACAAGUUCUUCUAGGUCUUCAAUGACUUGUUCCAUCCUGGAUUCAAUUUCAUUUUCAAAGAAAGUGACAAAAGAAGAUUUGACAGAAUUCCACACCUUGUUGGUAACAGUCUGAGACUCAGCUUCCACUUGGCUUUUGGAGAGUUCAUACUCUAUUUCCUUUAAGAGAUCUUCUGCAUCACACACAACAUCUUUGGCCCUGAGAAGCCAAUCUCUUACACGUGGAUCUGUGAACUGCUUUUGCUUUGCAUGAAAACCCACAACAUCAAUGGCUAGGAGCUUCGUCUUCAAGUCGCUGAGUUGCUUCUUUUUGUGUUUUCUUGCACGAAAUAUGUCGACAAAACGGGAAGCCAAAGUGUCAAUAAUCUUCUCGAGGAAAACAGAAACAAGAGCAUCGGUAACAGUUUCUUUCAUGGUAAGAAGAGGAAAGGGAGUGGAUGAAUGAAACUGAGUAAUUUGGAGUGAAGCCUAUGCCUUUGAAUCGGUGAAGUGAUAUGUAAAUAACAGUAACAACCUAUUCUUUUU
rnacentral:lncRNA from 1 species